UUUAUAUUUCGUAUUUGUAUUAAUUUGUUUCUAACAUUAUACUUGUGCUUAGGAACAUUAUGAUGGUGUUGCAUUAUCAGCAGCUUGUGUAAUUUAUUGAGGCAUGACAGAAGUGUAUGGGAAUCGUAUCUGCUGCAAAUUGCACAACUUUACACACUCCUCACAAUGUCUAAUUGACAAUGAAGUUAGUUUGUUUGCCUGCUUUUAACAUUUUGCCAACAUGCAUCGUUGUGAGCGAUCGACAACAUCAUCGUAAUAUGGAUCACUGGUACGCGGCUGAUGUAAUCUUUUAAGGAAUUACGGAUUCCAUAUUAAUAUAGAUUUUAUAUAACAUCUUUCGUUAUUCUUUUCGGUUCAAACUUAAAAAUGUAUUUAACUUUUUUUUUUUUAAAAAUAUCAAUUUCUAUUCAAUAUUUGACUAACUCUUGUUUUUUGGCUUUCAUUAUUAUUAUGUUAUUAUUAUAUAUGUUUAAUUAAUUUAUAUAAAUAUUUUUUUUUGGUUUUUAUUUAACUAUUUUAUCCAUUUAAAAAAAUUAAUUAUACUAAAAUAAAGUUUUAACAACAUGGUUUUGUUUUACACAGAUUUCAUUUAUGUAAAUAUUUUUAUACUUGUAUGUAUGUAAUAAUUUGCUUUGUUAAUGAUUAUAAAAAAAAUGUAUUUACAUUUAUUACAAAUAAAUUACAUUAAUUAUAUUUAAUAAACGUUUCUGUUUUUUCUAUUAGAUAACAAUAAAAUAAAUUUAAUAAUUUAUUCAUUUA